rnacentral:rRNA from 1 species
UGGGGAAUAUUGGACAAUGGGCGAAAGCCUGAUCCAGCCAUGCCGCGUGUGUGAAGAAGGUCUUCGGAUUGUAAAGCACUUUAAGUUGGGAGGAAAGGCAUUAACCUAAUACGUUAGUGUUUUGACGUUACCGACAGAAUAAGCACCGGCUAACUCUGUGCCAGCAGCCGCGGUAAUACAGAGGGUGCAAGCGUUAAUCGGAAUUACUGGGCGUAAAGCGCGCGUAGGUGGUUUGUUAAGUUGGAUGUGAAAUCCCCGGGCUCAACCUGGGAACUGCAUUCAAAACUGACUGACUAGAGUAUGGUAGAGGGUGGUGGAAUUUCCUGUGUAGCGGUGAAAUGCGUAGAUAUAGGAAGGAACACCAGUGGCGAAGGCGACCACCUGGACUAAUACUGACACUGAGGUGCGAAAGCGUGGGGAGCAAACA